CGCUGCUGGUCCCUGCUCCGGCUCCUCCCCUGCGCCGGCGCUAGCGCAGCUCAGCCUCCUCCCGUGCUUCUCCCUCCGUCGCUCUUGCUCUCCUCUCCCCGCCGCCACUCCCUCCUGCGGUAAAAAUGGCGAGAUGACUGCGCGUUUCAGCCGUCGGCGAUGGGUUUGUCGCUGCCGCAGCAGGUACCCUCUCUCUCUCAGGUCGAGUGGACGGCGCAUGAACCCCAACACCGUCGACAUCUUCCUUCCGUCAAGAACUACACCCCGGGCUCCAGUAAUCCUGGGCAGCCCGACAUCUUUCCCCUCUAUACGUUUGGAUAAGGGGAUCAAUUGGAGAUUGAACAUGUCUUGCAACGAUGGUUCAGGAUUUGGUCGAUCUAUGUACAUGGGAGAGGUUGAGGCGGUCUUUGUUGGUCGAUCUAUGUACAUGGGAGAGGUUGAGGCGGUCUUUGUGAACGAUGUACUUUUUGUCUGGCUGCAGCAACGUCGCCGGUGCGAGCUGAUGAUAACAGAUUUCCGCGAGGAGUGUGCCAUCGUAACCGACAGGAGUAGCGCUAGCCACUGUUCUGCCAGGAGGAGCGCCGUCACCAUUGGCAGCAGCCAUCCUCACAUUCGAUUGCAGGUCAAGUACAAGGGAGAAACGGGACCUUGAAGUACCGGCAAGGGGUUUCUAUGGUGAAUGAUAUAAAGACUAUUGAGGGGGCUAGAAGUCAUACAGAUAAGACAUCAGUGCUUUGUCGGAAGGAGACGCCACCACCACCACCAGGUGUUAUCCCGCCAACUGGUUCGGUGUGUGGAGGCCACGCCAGUUGAGCUUAAGGACACCGUGCAAGGCGUUUGAAUUCUGAUGUUCUUCAGACAACAAGUGUUGGCUUUGCUCUAGCCUCUAGCGACAUAUUUCGUCCUACGUCAUUUAGUGUGUACAGCCAUCUCCGUUUCUUGGACUAUUGCAGCAGAUUUCAGUUUGUGUAUGCAAUCGAAGAAUACCCCAUCCUUCACAUCAGAUUUUGCAUUGCUUGAUCUGUAGGGGAAUAAAAGAAAGACAAGGUAACUAUUUCGAAUGUAUUUCCAUUCAACUUUUUGUGCUACCUGAAUGUUCUCUAAUGUGAUCUGAUGGUGGGAAUGCAUGCACUGGUCCGUUUGGUGCUUAGCUUGCGCACACUUGUUCCAUAAACGAUUUUGGUAUUCUGCAUUUAUUUUCUUGCUUACUUCCAUUUUUGAGCAGCUCAUACAUAGGACAAGAAGUACAUGAUAUUAAGAUGUGAGAUUAAUAUUGAUGGAAUAACAUCCAAUCAUGUGAUAAAUGCCUUUUGGUCAUCUUGCUGAAGAUAUGCUACGAAAGUAGGCUGCUAUUAUGGUUAUAGAAUCUUAUGCAUAUUAGAUUCUUUUGUUUAUACCUACACAGUUGGCUUUUAUGGUUUUUUGAACUAUGGACACUGAUUGAUUUAGCUAAUAAGAUAUUUUUUUUCCAUUUUUUCAUCGUUGGAUGCGAGUUGCUUUUAUCCCAUGGGGCUCUCGGCUCAUCGGUUUCUCUCUCCCUACUAACUGAGGUAUUUGAUGAUUUGCUCCUAUACAACUUUGAUGACUUCGAUUACAACUAGAGCUGACACAAGAUUUUUUUAGUUCAGAAACUACAUCGAUGCUUAUGCUUCUUAUAUGCUAUAAUGUACCAAGAACUAGCUUCGACGGAUUAACUUUAGAACUCGUAGGCACGUCGAAGAAAUCAGAAGCGGAAGCACAACCCAACAAGAAGAGGAAAUAAAUCAGUAACAUGUCUUCUCCUUGUUGCUUUUCAAGUUGUAGGUCGAAAGAAAAGGUCUACCAUUUAAGAUAAAUCCAGACAACAGCCAGUUCAGAGGCAAGAUUCAUGAUGUUUGCCUCCAUGUCUUUCCUAAGAGGGGAGUUUCUCAUUCUAUCAUUAUCAUUUAGUGCUCUGCUAUACAUGCAGGCUACACGGUGUUUACUAAAACUAAGAAGUUCUAAUCCGCACUUUACAUGGCUAAGAAAUAGUUCAGUUGCAGCGUCGUCGUUUCUGGGCAUGGACUGUAAUAACAUGUCGGUGCAAUCCCAGAUGCUGUGUUUUCUACCUAGGUGCUUUUGCGGAGAGUCCUAUAAAUUACCCAUUAGUGUGCACAAAAUAAGGGUUGAUUAUCUAAAGUUCAUUGCAGGAACAUGACUAUAGUCAGGCAGCUAAUUUCAGACGUAUGCAGAUGAAAGUUUUCAGGAAGGAAAACUCUAGGUGUCUACGGAUGCCAGCAGCAAGUGUCCCGUGCUUGAGCUACCAUCCGCAAUUUAGGUAGCAUAGAUCACAUUUCUGCUAUGUUAUGUAUGUUCACUAUUCUAGCAUGGUCGAUGGUCUCUUUUAUGUACUUUUUUUGUGUGGAUGUAUGAGUGUGCUGGAAGCUAUCCUUUAUUUCAACCGGUCUCUGUCACUUCUGACCGUUAUAACCAAACAAUUCAAUGAAAUGUCAUAUUUUCUGUGUGUUUA